GCAGUCGACGAUGAUCCCUGGCUUGCUGGGGGGAUUAGUGGCGAACGGGUGAGUAACACGUGAGUAACCUGCCCUUGACUCUGGGAUAAGCCUGGGAAACUGGGUCUAAUACCGGAUACGACCAUCUGGCGCAUGUCAUGGUGGUGGAAAGCUUUUGUGGUUUUGGAUGGACUCGCGGCCUAUCAGCUUGUUGGUGGGGUAAUGGCCUACCAAGGCGACGACGGGUAGCCGGCCUGAGAGGGUGACCGGCCACACUGGGACUGAGACACGGCCCAGACUCCUACGGGAGGCAGCAGUGGGGAAUAUUGCACAAUGGGCGCAAGCCUGAUGCAGCGACGCCGCGUGAGGGAUGACGGCCUUCGGGUUGUAAACCUCUUUCAGUAGGGAAGAAGCGAAAGUGACGGUACCUGCAGAAGAAGCGCCGGCUAACUACGUGCCAGCAGCCGCGGUAAUACGUAGGGCGCAAGCGUUAUCCGGAAUUAUUGGGCGUAAAGAGCUCGUAGGCGGUUUGUCGCGUCUGCUGUGAAAGACCGGGGCUCAACUCCGGUUCUGCAGUGGGUACGGGCAGACUAGAGUGCAGUAGGGGAGACUGGAAUUCCUGGUGUAGCGGUGAAAUGCGCAGAUAUCAGGAGGAACACCGAUGGCGAAGGCAGGUCUCUGGGCUGUAACUGACGCUGAGGAGCGAAAGCAUGGGGAGCGAACAGGAUUAGAUACCCUGGUAGUCCAUGCCGUAAACGUUGGGCACUAGGUGUGGGGGACAUUCCACGUUUUCCGCGCCGUAGCUAACGCAUUAAGUGCCCCGCCUGGGGAGUACGGCCGCAAGGCUAAAACUCAAAGGAAUUGACGGGGGCCCGCACAAGCGGGCGGAGCAUGCGGAUUAAUUCGAUGCAACGCGAAGAACCUUACCAAGGNUUGACAUGAACCCGGAAAGACCUGGGAAACAGGUUGCCCCGCUUUGCGGUCGGGUUUACAGGGGGGUGCAUGGGUUGUCGUCCAGCUCCGUGUCCUGGAGAUGUUGGGGUUAAGUCCCCGCAACCAAGCGC
rnacentral:rRNA from 1 species